rnacentral:rRNA from 1 species
AAGCAGAGGGGGCUUAGUGGUGGGGUGACUGCGUACCUUUUGUAUAAUGGGUCAGCGACUUAUAUUCUGUAGCAAGGUUAACUGUAUAGGGGAGCCGGAGGGAAACCGAGUCUUAACCGGGCGUUAAGUUGCAGGGUAUAGACCCGAAACCCGGUGAUCUAGCCAUGGGCAGGUUGAAGGUUGGGUAACACUAACUGGAGGACCGAACCGACUAAUGUUGAAAAAUUAGCGGAUGACCUGUGGCUGGGGGUGAAAGGCCAAUCAAACCGGGAGAUAGCUGGUUCUCCCCGAAAGCUAUUUAGGUAGCGCCUCGUGAAUUCAUCUCCGGGGGUAGAGCACUGUUUCGGCUAGGGGGCCAUCCCGGCUUACCAACCCGAUGCAAACUGCGAAUACCGGAGAAUGUUAUCACGGGAGACACACGGCGGGUGCUAAUGUCCGUCGUGAAGAGGGAAACAACCCAGACCGCCAGCUAAGGUCCCAAAGUCAUGGUUAAGUGGGAAACGAUGUGGGAAGGCCCAGACAGCCAGGAUGUUGGCUUAGAAGCAGCCAUCAUUUAAAGAAAGCGUAAUAGCUCACUGGUCGAGUCGGCCUGCGCGGAAGAUGUAACGGGGCUAAACCAUGCACCGAAGCUGCGGCAGCGACACCGUGUGUUGUUGGGUAGGGGAGCGUUCUGUAAGCCUGUGAAGGUGUGCUGUGAGGCAUGCUGGAGGUAUCAGAAGUGCGAAUGCUGACAUAAGUAACGAUAAAGCGGGUGAAAAGCCCGCUCGCCGGAAGACCAAGGGUUCCUGUCCAACGUUAAUCGGGGCAGGGUGAGUCGACCCCUAAGGCGAGGCCGAAAGGCGUAGUCGAUGGGAAACGGGUUAAUAUUCCCGUACUUGGUGUUACUGCGAAGGGGGGACGGAGAAGGCUAUGUUGGCCGGGCGACGGUUGUCCCGGUUUAAGCGUGUAGGUAUGUGUUCCAGGUA